CAUUACUUGAUAUCCCAUGCUUGCUUAAGAACUGCAGCCAUGUGCCUCAAAUAUCAGGGAAAAACACUUUUAUGAAUUGUGUCUUGCCCAUCAAAAUGCAGACUUAACGAUCAGAUGGAAUUGCAUUUGUUUUAAUUGUCUUCAACAGUUCUCCUGAAGUAGCGCGAGAUUAUUACUUUUUAUGAAUCUUCUCUCGUGAUGUUCUUCUAAAAAAAUGCUCAAGCAUUGGACCGUCUUUCUUCUUCUCAGUGAAAUACACUGGCAAACUUGAAGAUGGAACAGUUUUUGAGAGGAAAGGAAUUGAUGAAGAGCCUCUAGAGUUCAUGUGUUUUGUAGAUUCUGGAGCCAUGCCAAAGUAAUCUUGCUUAUCAGCCCAAUAUGCUGAAGAAGAAAGCAUGGUCAAGUCGUGAAAAGAAUAUCUCAGAGGCUAUUCAUGGGGUUGGAAGAAAAGGUACGGCAGCAGUGCCAAGGAAGCCUCUAUAUCCAAGUAUUGGUGGUAGGGGUGCUGCUUCUGGUAAUAUUGAUCAGAGAGCAAAAGGACAUCUAGACGGAAUGGAGAGCUGUGGGAUGGCCACUAUGUCUGAUGAAACUCGAGAAGCUCUUCCUAAGGCACUUCUGGAACUUUUUCAUGUUCAUAAAGUUUGCAGGUGAUGCUUAUACUUCUUUCUAUUUUCACUUAUUUGAUCUCCUUCAGCAGCUAGAGCAUAUUUUCAGUUUCGGUACUUACAAGCUGAUAAGCAGUCAAUCAACCUGUCAUUCCUAUGGAUUUUAUUUGUGCAUCUGUUUGUGUUCCAUAUUUUACAUAUUAUAUGGGGAACCUAUUUGUAAACCACCAACUCAUUUAAAGAAAAGACAGUUCAUCCAGAGACUUGGAACCCAAUGUGGUCUGUGGCAAGGUAAGGUGAAACUAAGUUUCAGUUAUGUUGCUGGAAUGCUGUUUGUUUGGAUUUUGGUAAUUGGUUUAACUGCUUUCACAUGCUGACAUGUUUAAGUUGUGGAUGUGCAGCAUACUUGCAGGCCUUCUGUCGUUCAUGGUAAGUUCAUCAAUCUUCUUCUCUUUUAUCCUUUUUUUUUUUCAUGGUUCAUUCUGGAAGCCCCUGUUGCUGUUAGCAAACACAAGUGGAAGGAGAAAUGCACCAAGUUUCAUCAUUCAAAGGGAAGGAGAAAUGCUGAAAAUUGGCCUUCUUUAUGGAGAGUUCAAUUCCAGCUCAAGUAAUAGGUUUCUUCAACCUGCAUAUGAUGUGCAACAUUUAUUGCUACCUCAGAGUAGACUGCCUUAGAAAUGCCGUUGCUACUCGUUCUAGCCACUUACGUGAGCUUACAAAUGAUUAGUUUGAUUCAAAUUGGGAAAUUGCAAAUCAGUACUACAAAAGCAUGGCAAUGGUGCAGCAGCUACAUCAGAUUCAUCUGAAUUUCCACAAAGAUUUGGAUAUAGAACAAGUAAGCUUUUGGCAUUGCAGAUCGCUGGAUAUAGGCCAACUGAUCAGCUUCUUUCCUCAACCAUCUGAUUAUAAUACUGUGGGAUCAGCGAUUUGUUGCUUAUGGCUGUGCUGAGCACCUGAAGAAAUUGAAGAAACAUGCAUCUUCAUUAAAAGAAUUAGACUAAGGCAGUGAAACAAGUGUUCUGGCACAUAAAUGUAUGUGGCUACAAAAGGUACACUUUUGCCUUGAAAUUUCUUGGCAAAUUUGGGACUUUUGUAUUGUGUUGUACCAUUCAAAUUUGAGAUGCUGAUGGUUUUGUUGUUCUUACUACUU